rnacentral:rRNA from 1 species
UACGGAGGGUGCGAGCGUUAAUCGGAAUUAUUGGGCGUAAAGGGUGCGUAGGUGGUGAGAUAAGUUAUCUGUGAAAACCCUGGGCUUAACCUUGGGGAGAGAGAUAAGACUGUUUUACUAGAGUAUGGGAGAGGGUAGUGGAAUUUCCGGUGUAGCGGUGAAAUGCGUAGAGAUCGGAAGGAACACCGGUGGCGAAGGCGGCUACCUGGCCUAAUACUGACACUGAGGCACGAAAGCGUGGGGAGCAAACAGG